rnacentral:lncRNA from 1 species
CUUCCAUAUUGUGGACAAGGAAAAAUAAUUUAAAUUGCACAGCUAACUUAAAAUUACCAGGUUGUCUUGUUAUGUUUUGUUGUUUUAAAAAGUUUUGUAAAUAAAACCGUUGAAUUAAGACACAUAAGCUGAGCACAGUGGAGCACACCUAAGUUGGGAAGGUCACUUGAGCCCAGGAGUUUCAGGCCAGCCUGGCAAUAUAGCAAGACCCCAAUCUCUCUUUGUUUGUUUGCUUUUUGAAACAGAAUUUCACCAUGUUGUGCAGGCUGGCCUCGAGCUCAUGGCAAUCCUCCUGCCUCAGCCUCUCGAAUGCUGGGAUUACAGGUGUGUGCCACCAUGCCCAUCAUUAGGACCCCAUCUCUUUAAAAACACUUAAAAAUUGGGCCAGGGAUUUAGUUCAGUGGCACCGUGCCUGCCUCGAAAUCGAAAGGUCCUGAGGAAAAAAACACUUAAAAAUUAAGACAGCGUUAUUAUUACCACCAUUUCAAUAAAGAAAGAACCCUUACCAAUAAAAAGUUAUGAUUUAAAAAUUUUAAAAUUUCAUAAAAUGUAACUUCUUGAUUCUCUCUACAAUGAUCUUGUUAUUCUUGCUGCAGAUCAGGUUGCUGAUACUAUACUUCAUGAUGAACCAUGCUGAGUUAGCACAGGCAUUGGAACCAUUGCAUUGCAGGAAAUAAAUGUGAAUCAGUUAUGUGCCUGGGCUCAUCACCUUUAAAUAUCUGCUUCCUUCCACCAGAGUCUCUUUUUCCCACUCACCCUUGGCUGACUCAGUUUUUGUUUUUUGUGUGUUUUUUUUGGUACCAGGGGAUCAAACUUGGGACCUUGCACUUUCGAGGCAGGUGGCAGAACCACUGAGCUAAAUCCCCGGCCCCUGACUCAGUAUUUUUAAGACUUGGUUAAGGUAUCACAGGCUCAUGGGAAUUUUCUCUUCUCCCCUGCUUCUUGAAGGCUGAAUUUGGAGCACCCAUUUUGUGGUUCCCAAAACAUUCUGUACACACUUCUAUCACCCUAUUUUUAUCACAUACCUUUUUUUUUUGGUACUAGAGAUCGAACUUGGGUCCUGCUUGCGAGGCAGGUGCCAGAACCACUGAGCUAAAUCCCCGGCCCCUAU